GGGCGAUUAGCUCAGUGGGAGAGCACUACAUUCACACUGUAGGGGUCACUGGUUCAAUCCCAGUAUCGCCCACCA
rnacentral:tRNA from 1 species